rnacentral:lncRNA from 1 species
AUCCAACAAUAACAUUUACAUACUAGAAAAGGGAUGCCGUAAUCUAACAUGCAAAUAAAUUGAAGGUAAGUGAAUGACGAUUCACUAAUUCUCCAUCACAAAACUUAAACUAUUAGUCCUAAGUGUUUUUGAGAAUUCCUAGGUUCGGAUGAGAUUCAUUGAAACUAUUCAAUGGCAUGUUUAAAUCUCGAUAUGCCCCUCUUGUUUGUGACUGGGAUGCCGAGGAUCACAAAGCGGGUGUGAAUUACCAUGCAAAUUCACAUGGUGCCUUCAUUGUAACAAUCACCUAUUCGAUGUGCCGGUAAACCACACACGCUCCAUCGAACUAUGAUAAACAAUGAAUCACCCUUUGCCACCUUCGCUUAGAACCAAUUAGUGUGCCGGUAAACCACACACGCUCCACUAACAUCUUAGCAAGGUGCAAAGUGUAAUUUCAUGGGAUUGCAUCAAUUCACUUUUCCUAAAGUAACUAGGAUUGGGAAAUUUUAAAAAAAUGUGUAGUUACUUUAUAUUUCUUAUUAUACUUUUAAUGAGAGGAUGAGGUUGCCCUAUCCUACCCGUUCGGCUAACGACCCUCCACCAAUCAAGCAAGCGGUGGGUGUGAGUGUACACCCAUUAAGCGCCAUUUUAUAGGCCGCAACCUUAUACCCACCUUAUAGAUCGGCUUCGUGAAUGAGGCCUACUAACGGUAAGACUAGCAUUUAGUUAUACAUAUAUAUAUUAUUCUAGUAAUAUCAUAUUAGUAUAGGGUUGUAUUUUAAAACUUUUAAAAUCUAGGGUUUGAAAUUUAAGUUGUCUAAAUUAAAACUUUUAAUCACAAAAGUAAAUUUCAAAACAUGAGGGUAGGUUUUAAACAUUUAAAACAUGGAGGAUCAAAUAACAAAUAAUUCCAAUUAACAAUUAAUAUCCUAAUUAUCUAUAUUUGAUUUAUUCAAGAUUUCUUUUAAAGAUAAUUACCAAAAUAAUCAAAAUAAUUAAUUAAUUAUCAUAUAAGGAAAUUAAAUAUUUAAUUAGUUGAUAAUUACCUUUAACUAGAUCAAGAUAAUAGUUAUAUUUAUCAGAAAAACGAAUUAAUGUUGAUCUAAUUAGUUUAUGGUAAGUUAAGAUAAGAUAAACACAAAGAAAUCCCGAAUCUGGCCAUUCCUGACGCCUGGACUCGCCGAGUGCACAAAUGGACUCGCCGAGUCAGGCCUACUCGCCGAGUCCACUUUGAGACUCGCCGAGUCCAUGACUCAGAAACCAAAAAUUCGAAUUUUGCAGGUUUGUUUCAGUUAAUCAAGCAACAAUUUACAGAAAACCAAGCUAGGCUCUGAUACCACUGAUGGGUUUUAGCCAUAAGAACUUUCCUAUGUGCGCAUGCAAAACCCUAAUGCUUGGAUCUAGGCUUUCUAAUAAACAUGCUUUGAAUCCAAGACUUCUAAUUACUAAUUAGGUUAAACAAGAACAUUAAAACAGAUCUAGAAUCAUACCUUUGAGUUCCUUGUUGAUCUUGAGGUCUUGGAGCUUCUAGAGUCACAAAUGUCACUCCUCUAAUGGCUUACAAACACCAAAGCAAGGAGGAUGAUUUGGGAGAGAGGAGAGGGGAGGAAUUUCGACCAGAGGUUCCUUACUUUAGGUCAAGUGUCGAAUUCCAUCAGCCAUGGGGUCUAUUUAUACUUGUAGACUCCUUAAGGAUUACAGAUAAGUCCCUAUCAGAUAAUCUUCUCUUAAGGCUAUCCAAAUCCAUUCCUAGAUAACUCUAAUGGACGAUUUUAGCUAUCCUAAUCCUCUUAGAAUUCGUCCAUAGUAUAUCCAAAUGGAUUUACAGUUUAAAGCUUAACUAUCAAACAAUUGACAGUUUAUACCCCUUUAUUUAAUUAAUCUCUUUAAGUCACCAAAUUAAUUCUAAUUAAUUCUAUGACUUAUAUUAAUCAAAUAACAAAUAUAUUAUUCAUUAUAUUAUUCCCAUAAUAUAUUAAUAAUAUUUAUUCUCUCUUAAUAAAUCAUCCUAUCAAGUUGCUAUGGUGAAGGCAACCCAAAAGGACCAUGCACAACCGGAUAUAGUUACAGCCUUAGACACUAUUCCAACAGUCUCCCACUUGGAUAAGUCUAGUAACUAUACAAGUACAAUUCGGUUUGCAAUCGUAGCUCUCAAAGACGCUGUCAACUCUGAUCUAAUCAAUCUUGUCCUUUAGAUAAGGGAACGUACAGUCCUCUGUUAGAUAUCAUGCUGACAAUCCUAUGGAAUGGUUAGUCAAGCAUUUAGGUUUCUCGAUCUCUGAUUUAUUUGACAUAGAACUUAAUCGAACACAUCAAUUCAGUUCUGACCGGGCCCGGCACAUAAGUCAAAUCAAAUCAUCGAGCGGCCGAGAUAUCGCUUUUACCUUCUUAGAUAAAAGUUACAGAUAAACUUCGACUUAUAUGCAUUUACUUAUUCAUUAACCAACUAUACACAACAAUACGUUUUAUAACACCAAGUUACUGAUGCGUUUUCGUAUUAUCAAUGUACAAUCAAUUAACAAAUAAUAAACCAUAUAUCUAGGUUUUAAGACUAUAUGAUAUUAUCGUCUUGCGAUCACCUUUUAUAUCGUAUUCCAUAAGGUGAUUCCAGCAAGCGCGGGUUUAUUCCAAUGCUCAAAACUAGUUCAUAAGCACUCAUGAACGUUGCAGCAAUCCUUUGCUAUGUCUAACACCAUUUAGACAUUCUACACACCAAUUCAUGACAAUCUUCUUUCAUAUCUACUCCCAACAUAUGAACGAUUGUGGACCAUUUGAAUAAUUCGAUUAUUCCUAAUAAACUCAAUUAUUCUGGAAGUCAAAACAUGCAAAGUGAAACAAUAGCUAAACAAUUAACAUAAGAUAGUAACAUUACUCAUAAAUAAAACUCCUUUAUUUAAUCAUCAAAUGUCAAUUACAUUUAUCUAUUACACGUUUCUAAUACUAUCUAAUCUAUGCUAAUAUCAUCCUUCAGCCCAAUACUCCUAGCAUGCUGCAAGUGCUUAACCCUACUCAGUCCCUUCGUAAGCGGAUCUGCUGGGUUAUCUUCUGAUGAUAUCCUCUUCACUACGAGUUGUCCUUCUUCUACACGAUGUCUAAUGAAGUGAUACUUUCUGUCGAUAUGUCUUGAUCUACCAUGAUCCCUCGGUUCCUUGGUUAAGGCAACCGCACCUUCGUUAUCACAGAAAAUCUCCAUUGGCUCCUUUAUGGCAGGUACGACUCCAAGAUCACCGAUGAAGUUCUUUAGCCAUAUUGCCUCCUUCGACGCUUCGCUCGCUGCAAUGUACUCUGAUUCGCACGUUGAAUCAGCUACGGUUUCCUGCUUGGAACUCUUCCAUGUCACUGCUCCUCCAUUUAGGGUAAAGACCCAGCCCGACUGCGAACGGUAGUUGUCCCUGUCGGUCUGAAAACUGGCGUCACUAUACCCUCGCACCUUCAAGUCAUCACUCCCUCCGAGGACUAAGAACCAUUCCUUCGUCCUCCGAAGGUACUUAAGGAUAUUCUUCACCGCAAUCCAAUGUGCUUUGCCAGGAUUCCCUUGAUAUCUGCUAACCAUGCUCAAAGCGAAGGCUACAUCAGGGCGAGUACAAGUCAUAGCGUACAUGAUUGAGCCAACUGCGGAAGCGUAUGGUACUCGGCUCAUUUCUGCUAUCUCAGCUUCGGUACUCGGACUUUGAGUCUUACUCAAUUUGGCAUUACUUUGUAUCGGUAGUUCUCCCUUCUUUGAGUUUUCCAUACUAAAACGUUUUAGUACCUUCUCUAAGUAAGUAUUCUGACUAAGUCCAAUUAGUCUCUUACUUCUUUCUCUUACUAUCCUUAUUCCCAAAAUGUAAGAAGCCUCUCCGAGGUCCUUCAUAGCGAAGCACUUCCCGAGCCAGGACUUAACCUCCUGCAGAGUCGGGAUGUCGUUUCCUAUGAGUAAUAUGUCAUCGACAUAUAGAACGAGGAAGCUUACUAUACUCCCACUGGCUUUGACAUAUACACAAGAUUCGUCUUCGCUUCGUACAAAUCCAAACUCUUUGACUUUCUCAUCGAAGCAAAGAUUCCAUCUGCGAGACGCUUGCUUAAGUCCAUAAAUGGACUUCUCAAGCUUACACACUCUAUUCGGAUGCUUCGGAUCCACAAACCCCUCUGGCUGAGCCAUGUAAACAUCCUCAGCCAACUUUCCGUUAAGGAAAGCGGUCUUGACAUCCAUUUGCCAAAUCUCAUAAUCAUGAAAUGCGGCAAUUGCUAGCAUCACUCUAAUAGAUUUAAUCUUCGCAACUGGUGAGAAGGUCUCAUCAUAGUCAACUCCGGGAGUUUGAGUAAAGCCCUUCGCAACCAAUCGCGCUUUAUAUGUGUGUACGUUUCCAUCCACGUCGGUCUUCUUCUUGAAGAUCCAUUUGCACCCAACGGUCUUACGUCCGGGCACAUAAUCAACCAAAUUCCAAACUUGGUUAUCAUACAUGGAUUGGAUCUCGCUAUCCAUUGCCUCUUUCCAUUUUGCAGACUCCGGGCCUGCCAUGGCUUCCUUAUAGCUAUUAGGUUCAUCAAGAUUUAUUAGUGUACCAUCACUAAUAUACGUGUCCCCUUCGGUAGUAAUAUGAAAACCAUAAAACUGGGGUUGAACUCUAACUCUAUCGGAACGUCUAAGAGGUAAGGAUUCGUCAAUCGGUUCAACCGGAGUUUCCUCCUCGGGUUGAGUGCCAGCGGUAGAGGUUCCUUCAUCUAUCGACUCUUGAAUCUCUUCAAGCUCGAUUUGCCUCCCACUGUCUCCUUGGCUUAUGAGUUCUCGCUCUCGGAAAACUCCUCUCCUCGCAACGAAGACAACAUUGUCCUUCGGUCUAUAGAAGAGAUAUCCAAAGGAUGUCUGCGGGUAGCCGAUGAAAAUACAUCGCUCACUUCGAGGUUCAAGCUUGUCGUGAGUAUCUCGUCUUACGAAAGCCUCGCAACCCCAAACCUUGAUAUGUGCCAACGAGGGAGCUUUCCCUGUCCACAUCUCGUGAGGUGUUUUGGCAACCUUCUUAGUAGGGACUCGGUUAAGGAUAUGGGCGGCAGUCUCUAAGGCAUACCCCCAAAAAGAGAUUGGUAGUGAAGCACGACUCAUCAUAGAGCGAACCAUAUCCAAUAAGGUUCGAUUACGCCUUUCUGCCACACCAUUCAACUGCGGUGUCCUAGGAGGCGUCAAUUGCGAAACUAUUCCACACUCCUUGAGAUAAUCGUGGAAUUCAAGACUUAGGUACUCUCCUCCUCGAUCGGAUCGAAGCAUCUUGAUUUUCCUGCCCAAUUGAUUCUCCACUUCAUUCUUGAACUCUUUGAACUUUUCAAAGGUUUCUGACUUUUGCUUGAUUAAGUAGAUAUACCCAUAUCUACUAUAGUCAUCGGUAAAAGUCACAUAGAAGCGGUUCCCAUCCUUCGUGGUUGAUCUAAACGGUCCACAUACAUCGGUAUGUAUUAGGUCCAAUAGACCCUCGCCCCUUUCACAUGUACUCGUGAAGGGUGACUUAGUCAUCUUUCCAAGCAAACAAGACUCGCAUGUGUCAUCUUCCCUAAGGUCGAAUGACUCCAACACUCCAUCCUUUUGGAGUUGGGCUAUGCGUUUCUUGUUGACAUGUCCAAGACGACAAUGCCACAAGGAUGCUUUAUCCAUACUAGUGGAAGAAUCAAUAUUCAAAACAUCAUUUCCUAAGUUAUCAACAAUCAUAACGGUUUCAUAUAUUCCAUUACAUGGUAUAGCUUCAAAGUAAAAGACACCAUUUAGAUAAGCCAAAAUAGAACCAUUCUCAUUAUUAAAAGAAAAUCUAAAUCCUUGUCUAUAUAAACCAUGAAAUGAAAUGAUGUUUCUUGCCAUUUCUGGCGAAUAGCAACAAUUGUUCAAAUCUAAAACUAAACUAUUCCUAAGCACUAAGGAAUACACUCCAAUCUUGGUCACAGGCGACGAUCUUCUGUUCCCCAUGAUUAGAUUGAUCCUUCCUUGCUCCACAUCCCUACUUCUUCUUAGUCCCUGCACAUUAGAACAAAUGUGAUAACCACAACCGGUAUCAAGAACCCAAGAAAUAGCAUGAUUAGAAUCGUUAGAUUUGAUUGUAUAUAUACCUGCGAAAGAUGGCUUGAUCUUUCCUUCUUUGAUUGCUUGCAGGUAAUCCGGGCAGCUUCUCUUCCAAUGUCCUAUCUUGUGGCAGUGGUGGCACUCUGCCUCCUUCGGGUUAGAGCAGGGCUUGGCGGGAUCAACUUUGGUCCCACUAGAAGAGGCACCAUCUCGGGCUUUCACCUUGCGAUAGUUCUUCGAUGAAGCUUUCCUCUUCUUUCCCUUCCCUUGUCCAAUAGCCAAGACAGGAGCAGCGGGCGGAUUGGGAGUAGGUGCAACAGACUUGUCUUUGAAGUUGCUCUCAGCAACCCUCAAGAGACCUUGGAGCUUGCUUAGGGUGACCUCUUCUUUGUUCAUGUGGUAGGUCAUCCUAAAUUGGUUGUACAUCGGAGGCAAAGAGUGAAGCACCAUGUCGAUCGCCAAGUCUUCACCGAAGUCAACAUUUAACUUGCGGAGGCGGUCAACAUACCUUUGCAUCUUUUGCAAGUGCACGGUAAGAGAUUCUCCAUGACCCAUCUUCGCGGAAAUCAUGUUAGUGAAAAUCUCGUACCUCUCUUGUCUCGCGUUUUGGUGGUACCUCUCCAAUAAGUCUUGAUGCAUCUCGUACGGGUACAUGUCCUCGUAGGACUUUUGGAAUUCGGAGUUCAUGGUGGCGAUCAUGAUGCAAUGUACCUUCGUUGCAUCUCGCUCAUGAGUUUCAAAGGCGGUGAUUUCGGCGGGAGUAGCAAUUUCGGGGUUGAUUUUCUCGAGCUUCUCAUCGAGGACAUACUCCUUAUCCUCAUAGCGAGCAAUGGUGCGAAUGUAUCUUAUCCAUUCGCUAAAGUUCGUUCCAUCGAAGGUGACCUUUUGGCAAAGGCUCAUCAACGUGAAAGAACUAGCAGCAGCGUUGUUUGCGUUCGACAUCUACAAUUAGAAAAGGACAAAGAUAGAUUAGAAUAAGAAUCCCUAAUUAUCACCCAAUAAGAAAAUUAGGGCUAGGAUCCAACAAUAACAUUUACAUACUAGAAAAGGGAUGCCGUAAUCUAACAUGCAAAUAAAUUGAAGGUAAGUGAAUGACGAUUCACUAAUUCUCCACCAUAAAACCUAACUAUUAGUCCUAAAUGUAUUGAGAAUUCCUAGGAUCGGAUGAGAUUCAAAGGUAUGAUUCUAGACAAUUAAGCAACAAUUUAAUGAAAACCAAGCUAAGCUCUAAUGACUAUUUAGGAAUAAAAACAAUGUUAAAACAGAUCUAGAAUCAUACCUUUGAAUUCCUUGUUGAUCUUGUUGUCUUGGAGCUUCUAGAGUCACA